rnacentral:rRNA from 1 species
ACGGGUGAGUAACGCGUGGGAAUCUACCCAUCUCUACGGAAUAACUCAGGGAAACUUGUGCUAAUACCGUAUACGCCCUUCGGGGGAAAGAUUUAUCGGAGAUGGAUGAGCCCGCGUUGGAUUAGCUAGUUGGUGGGGUAAAGGCCUACCAAGGCGACGAUCCAUAGCUGGUCUGAGAGGAUGAUCAGCCACAUUGGGACUGAGACACGGCCCAAACUCCUACGGGAGGCAGCAGUGGGGAAUAUUGGACAAUGGGCGCAAGCCUGAUCCAGCCAUGCCGCGUGAGUGAUGAAGGCCCUAGGGUUGUAAAGCUCUUUCACCGAUGAAGAUAAUGACUGUAGUCGGAGAAGAACCCCGGCUAACUUCGUGCCAGCAGCCGCGGUAAUACGAAGGGGGCUAGCGUUGUUCGGAAUUCUGGGCGUAAAGGCACGUAGGCGGGUAUUAAGUCAGGGUGAAUCCAGACUCACUCGGAAUGCUUUGAU